AGUUUGAUCCUGGCUCAGAUUGAACGCUGGCGGUAUGCCUUACACAUGCAAGUCGAACGGUAGAGGAGCAAUCCUCGAGAGUGGCGAACGGGUGAGUAAUACAUCGGAACGUGCCCAGUCGUGGGGGAUAACGUAGCGAAAGCUACGCUAAUACCGCAUACGACCCGAGGGUGAAAGCGGGGGACUCGCAAGAGCCUCGCGCGAUUGGAGCGGCCGAUGGCAGAUUAGGUAGUUGGUGGGGUAAAGGCCCACCAAGCCUGCGAUCUGUAGCUGGUCUGAGAGGACGACCAGCCACACUGGGACUGAGACACGGCCCAGACUCCUACGGGAGGCAGCAGUGGGGAAUUUUGGACAAUGGGCGAAAGCCUGAUCCAGCCAUACCGCGUGCGGGAAGAAGGCCUUCGGGUUGUAAACCGCUUUUGUCAGGGAAGAAAUACUUCGGGCUAAUACCCUGGGGUGAUGACGGUACCUGAAGAAUAAGCACCGGCUAACUACGUGCCAGCAGCCGCGGUAAUACGUAGGGUGCAAGCGUUAAUCGGAAUUACUGGGCGUAAAGCGUGCGCAGGCGGUUCUAUAAGACAGAUGUGAAAUCCCCGGGCUCAACCUGGGAACUGCAUUUGUGACUGUAGAGCUAGAGUACGGUAGAGGGGGAUGGAAUUCCGCGUGUAGCAGUGAAAUGCGUAGAUAUGCGGAGGAACACCGAUGGCGAAGGCAAUCCCCUGGACCUGUACUGACGCUCAUG
rnacentral:rRNA from 1 species